rnacentral:lncRNA from 1 species
GUAUUGCAGUAUGCUGAGGAUGUGCUGUCUGGGAAAGUGUCUGCUGCCAACACGGUAGGCCACUUCUUGAUAAGCCUUGUCAACCAAGUACCAAAGAUAGUUAUUGAUGACUUUGAGAUCAUGCUCAACAGCCACAUCAAUGACCUGCUGCUGGUGACCUACCUGGUCUAUCUCAUCCAGUCACAGAUUUCUAUCAACAAGAAACUUGUAAACCAAUGA